rnacentral:rRNA from 1 species
GAUGAACGCUGGCGGCGUGCCUAACACAUGCAAGUCGAGCGAACCCUUCGGGGUGAGCGGCGGACGGGUGAGUAACGCGUGGGUAACCUGCCCUGUACACACGGAUAACAUACCGAAAGGUAUGCUAAUACGGGAUAAAGUAUGAGAGUCGCAUGGCUUUUAUAUCAAAGCUCCGGCGGUACAGGAUGGACCCGCGUCUGAUUAGCUAGUUGGUAAGGUAACGGCUUACCAAGGCAACGAUCAGUAGCCGACCUGAGAGGGUGAUCGGCCACAUUGGAACUGAGACACGGUCCAAACUCCUACGGGAGGCAGCAGUGGGGAAUAUUGCACAAUGGGCGAAAGCCUGAUGCAGCAACGCCGCGUGAGCGAUGAAGGCCUUCGGGUCGUAAAGCUCUGUCCUCAAGGAAGAUAAUGACGGUACUUGAGGAGGAAGCCCCGGCUAACUACGUGCCAGCAGCCGCGGUAAUACGUAGGGGGCUAGCGUUAUCCGGAAUUACUGGGCGUAAAGGGUGCGUAGGCGGUCUUUCAAGCCAGAAGUGAAAGGCUACGGCUCAACCGUAGUAAGCUUUUGGAACUGUAGGACUUGAGUGCAGGAGAGGAGAGUGGAAUUCCUAGUGUAGCGGUGAAAUGCGUAGAUAUUAGGAGGAACACCAGUAGCGAAGGCGGCUCUCUGGACUGUAACUGACGCUGAGGCACGAAAGCGUGGGGAGCAAACAGGAUUAGAUACCCUGGUAGUCCACGCCGUAAACGAUGAGUACUAGGUGUCGGGGGUUACCCCCCUCGGUGCCGCAGCUAACGCAUUAAGUACUCCGCCUGGGAAGUACGCUCGCAAGAGUGAAACUCAAAGGAAUUGACGGGGACCCGCACAAGUAGCGGAGCAUGUGGUUUAAUUCGAAGCAACGCGAAGAACCUUACCUAAGCUUGACAUCCCAUUGACCUCUCCCUAAUCGGAGAUUUCCCUUCGGGGACAGUGGUGACAGGUGGUGCAUGGUUGUCGUCAGCUCGUGUCGUGAGAUGUUGGGUUAAGUCCCGCAACGAGCGCAACCCUUGCCUUUAGUUGCCAGCAUUAAGUUGGGCACUCUAGAGGGACUGCCGAGGAUAACUCGGAGGAAGGUGGGGAUGACGUCAAAUCAUCAUGCCCCUUAUGCUUAGGGCUACACACGUGCUACAAUGGGUGGUACAGAGGGUUGCCAAGCCGUGAGGUGGAGCUAAUCCCUUAAAGCCAUUCUCAGUUCGGAUUGUAGGCUGAAACUCGCCUACAUGAAGCUGGAGUUACUAGUAAUCGCAGAUCAGAAUGCUGCGGUGAAUGCGUUCCCGGGUCU